rnacentral:rRNA from 1 species
CCUACGGGUGGCAGCAGUGAGGAAUAUUGGUCAAUGGGCGCGAGCCUGAACCAGCCAAGUAGCGUGAAGGAUGACUGCCCUACGGGUUGUAAACUUCUUUUAUAAAGGAAUAAAGUGAGGCUCGUGCGCCUUUUUGUAUGUACUUUAUGAAUAAGGAUCGGCAAACUCUGUGCCAGCAGCCGCGGGAAUACGGAGGAUCCGAGGGUUAUCCGGAUUUAUGGGGUUAAAAGGGAGCGUAGAUGGGUUGUUAAGUCAGUUGUGAAAGUUUGCGGCUAAACCGUAAAAGUGCAAUUGAUACUGGCAGCCUUGAGUACAGUUGAGGUAGGCGAAAUUCGUGGUGUAGCGGUGAAAUGCU